rnacentral:lncRNA from 1 species
CCCCCUAACUUCUUCAAAACCCUGCAUUGAAGUGCACAAAUGAGCACUUGAACUAGAAUCAAGAAUCCAACUAGAAGAAGAGGAAAUCAUUAGAUUAGUUUCAAUAACAAGCAACUCAGAUGUACCUUCAGAAGAUCCAUCCUUCUUCCUACUUUUGACAGUCGUCAGGUAGGUCAGACAGUUUCUUCUCCAGUGGUCUUCGAUAUUGUAAUGAAAAUAUUUUUCUUUGUCAUCAGUCUUCUUCGAAACCAAUUUCUUAAGCUUGACCUCAUUCUUCU